rnacentral:tRNA from 1 species
CUGUGGUUGUGGCUCAGUGGUAGAGCGCUUACCUAGAAUGUGUGAGGCACUGGGUUCAAUCGCUGGUACCACAUA